AUUCUAAUACAAAGCUAAAUAUCUACAGAAUUUAAACACACAAAUUUCUUUUAUGAUUAACAACUCUGCAUUACUGUCAUAAUUUUUAUGUUUCUUUGUCCAUUUUUGGUUAGCCAGAAGUUGGGCGGAGUCAGGCACUGCCAAGAUGGUGAUGACCUUGAGCUUCAAAACCACUCUUCAGAUUCCUAUGGGUGACCUCAUGGAGGCUACGUCCAUCUAUAGCUGCACUAGCACAGAGAGUCUCUGGUUAACAGUGCUGGGAAGUAAUUCAAUAAAAGAUUAAGUAUCUGAAAUAUCUUUGCACGGGCAGACCAGUCCCCACGCGAACAGAGCGUUGGUGGAAAAGGUUUGCAGGCCACAGUCUGGUACUACUUCUUGCCCUGAUCUGUCCCUCACCUCUGGACAGGUCUGUGAAACAGUACCCCCACAACCAGUACCACCAGUCUACCAGUUCUCUACAAAUGUUUCAUGUGCAACUGGGCAGGUGUCACAAACUGCAAAUGUUGAGGAUACCAGAAAACAACAUGAGCUGCUACUUGCUUUAAAACUCAAACAUGGACUGACAGAUGAAGCUUUAGUAGACACACUUAGAUAAAUGUUAUAAGUGAGAAGCAUGCUGUGUCAUCUAGGAAAUAUCUUUUUUACAAUAAAUUUGAUGACAUAAAAAAUAACAUCCAGAGUCACUACAUAUGUGAAAGAUGCACAAUCUCUAUGGACAGUGAGAGGGAGGCUGUACUUUGUCCAAGAAUUCUUGCAGUGCAGUUGAUCACAUGUUGUUUGGUGUUUCACUAUGGGAAUCGCUUUGGCGUGACCAACUACGGAAGCUCCAAUGACACCACGUCUGUCAGUGACAGAGAGGUCGAACUGUGCUGGGGCACACCCCCUGUAUACCAACACAGUCAACCAGCCCCUCUCAAAUCAUUCUCGCUUUCUUCCCAUGAAGAAACUAUACAAGCUCCCUCAGCUCUUCCAGGCUAGCUUGGCUAGCUGCUUAACUGUUCAUAGACAAACCGUCAAGGACCAUGUCGCCGAACGCAGUUUUUCUGAUCUAAGUCUGGAUUUGCUGAGUUCUUUGCAAGAAGUUAACUUUACGGUUACACUAGUGACUGAAAACAGUGUCCGCAUAAGGGCAAGCUGUUAGUUACGUACCCUGUAUUUGAUUACCAGUGUACCGGUGAUUGUGUUGCAAUGUACCCUACGGCUAACAUGUUCUGGUGAGCUUUUGAGGGUCUGGCUAGCAUUAAUUUAGUUAGCUGAGCCGGGUGCCUGGAGUUCUGCUAAUGUGUCACGGUGAGCAAACUCUAACACUACGCUGGCUAACUAGGGCUAAACCCUGUGUGCUAACGCAAUCACCGAUCCCCCUUUCCAGUCCUCGGCCAAUACCCCCGCCAAAGGGUCGAAACCGAAGAAUAAAGAGGUUGCAUCCCACCUGUGCCCCGUGUCAUGCGGGUCAUCCAUUUCGGGCAGGGACCCUCACCCGAGGGCAUGGGUGCUAAACACGCUCAAGCGUCACUGGUGGACCCCCAGUCAUGUUCUCACAGUGCGUCUAUGCCAGAAAAGAUACUGGAAAGGCGGCUUAGAGUGGUGGUGGCCAACAACCAGGACCCUAGCCUGUCUGGAGCCACCCCAAAAGCCACAACCAGCACCCAUCUGCCACAAGCUGCACCAAGCUGGCGGACAUCAUGGAUGCUGAACCUCCGGACAUGCCCCCACUUUUCAAGGAGCUCCUCGAGGGGGAGAUGUGUGACGAGGAGGCAGAGGUUGACGCCCACUCUGACCUCCUUGACAUGGACGAGAUGGAGGAAGAGAAGGAUGACUCCAUGUUCCCAGUUUCACAGUCCAGACCCCCCAGUGCAUCUGACGCUGUUCCACCAGUAGACAGCAGCUUAUACGAGGUCUGCAAACGGGCUACAUUCCAAGUUGGGGAUUCAGUGGCCAGCAGCCCAGGACACUGAAGGGGCAGAGAGAGACCUCUAUGAUGGCAAGAGGCUCCCUCCAGCCCAGCCGCCAGCUAAACAACUUCUGCCAGCAGUGCCUGCCUGCAUGAAGGAAGUGAGUAGGUACUGGUCUAAUCCGUUCAAAAGUAAGCUUCCCACCAAAGGCUACUCUAAGCUGGAGAUCCACGGGAUGGGGUAACUGGGGCUGGCCGAACCCCCAGUGGUGGAGCCUUCAGUGGCUUAUCACUUCCACCCUAACCGUCGCUCUCUCUUGGCCUCCAGCAGCAUCUCUCUGCCUAGCAAAAUGGAACGUGUCACUGCUUCCGUUUUCCAGAGGAUGUAUAAAUAUGCAGCACAAUUAGUGUGCUCCCUGAAUGAUGCUGUUGUCUGCAUACCAGGCAGAAAUACUGGAGGAGAUGGGCAGGCAGCUGGACACUGGGUCACCUAACCCGGCUCUCUGGGAUGAGAUCUGGAAGCGGCAGCUGUGAGAGGGAGACACGAGGGUCCCAGACCACAGAGACAGGUAACUAAUCAAAAGACUAAUCAGCAGCCCAGGUCAGGAAACCCAGAACUAUGGGGCAAGCACUCCGCGGUGUUGCUGCUGUGGCAACAAGAAACCGCCCCUCCCACCCUGGGGAAGGGAAGAAAAAGCAUGCAACCUAGUACCCACAGCUUCUCUCUCUCCCCUCCUCCCACAAAGAAGAGAAGAGAGGUGGAUCAGAGUUCCAAAGUUCAUGGUUCAGAUGCCCUGGUGAGUUCUGUCCCAGGUGUCCUCUCUCAGCCUCUCUCCCCUCAUGUUUCAGAGGGGGAAAGUCAGGGACAAAUAACACAGUGUCAUC